AUACAUUAUUUACAACCACUCACAAGACAUGUCAAGACAAACAACCAGAAAUAUGUCGCUCCCAGAAAGACGUUAUCUGUUCAAAUGAAGCUUACAAAAUUUGGGCAAGAGGCAAUUGCCAAAAGACAUGUCACCUGUGUCCAGGACAUAUAAGAACAACACCAACACCUAAAGGUUGUUCAUAUAAAGGAGUUCAUUACCAACAUAAUGCUGAGUGGAAAGAUGGCUGUGACAAAAACUGUACUUGUGUCAACGGUCGCUACAAUUGUGUGGAUAUAUGUCCAAGAUAUCCAUAUCUUCCACCAAACUGGCAAAUAGUACGGCCAACUCCUGGAGGAUGCUGUCAUGAAGGUUAUCUGAUUGGAGUUGGUGAACCGAUAUGUAAUUAUGGUGGAAAGGAAUAUAAGCAGGAUGAAAGCUGGUCUGAUGGUUGUCAGUUUAGCUGUGUCUGUAAUGAUGCCAAGGCUGGUCAAUACCAAUGUAAAGAACAAUGUCCUAAAUGGGAUCUUCCUGACGUUUGUCACUGGAACCCAGCACUAGCGGGAAAAUGCUGUAGUCAACCAGUAUGUCCACCACCUUAUGUUAUCACCGGUUACCCAGACCUUUAGAUGUUUCUUUUCACAUAAGCAACUGUCAAUAAUAGAAUUUUGUUUAUCAAAAAAUAUUAAAGUCUUUAAUAUUUGUUA